rnacentral:rRNA from 1 species
UACAGAGGGGGCAAGCGUUGUUCGGAAUUACUGGGCGUAAAGGGCGCGUAGGCGGCCUGUUAAGUCGAACGUGAAAUCCCCAGGCUCAACCUGGGAACCGCGCUUGAGACUGGCACGCUCGAGUUCGGGAGAGGAUGGUGGAAUUCCCAGUGUAGAGGUGAAAUUCGUAGAUAUUGGGAAGAACACCGAUGGCGAAGGCAGCCAUCUGGACCGACACUGACGCUGAGGCGCGAAAGCGUGGGGAGCAAACAGG